rnacentral:rRNA from 1 species
AGAGUUUGAUCCUGGCUCAGGAUGAAUGCUGGCGGCGUGCUUAACACUUGCAAGUCGAACGGACUUUAGAAUGAAGCUUGCGAUUUCUAAAGUUAGUGGCGGACGGGUGAGUAACGCGAGUCUAACCUGCCUUAUACCGGGGGAUAACACUUACAAAUAGGUGCUAAUACCGCAUAAGCGCACAGCUUCACAUGAAGCACUGUGAAAAACUCCGGUGGUAUAAGAUGGACCCGCGUCUGAUUAGCUGGUUGGUGAGGUAACGGCCCACCAAGGCGACGAUCCCUUUUCUGCCUGAGAGGGUGAACGGCCACAUUGGGACUGAAACACGGCCCAAACUCUUACGGGAGGCCCCACUGGGGAAUAUUGGACAAUGGGGGAAACCCUGAUCCAGCGACUCCGCGUGAGUGAAGAAGUAUUUCGGUAUGUAAAGCUCUAUCAUCAGGGAAUAUACUGACGGUACCUGACUAAAAAACCCCGGCCCACCACGUGCCAGCAGCCGCAGUAAUACAUAAGGGGCAGCGUUAUCCGGAUUUACUGGGUGUAAAGGGAGCGUAGGCGGUUUUACAAGUCUGAUGUGAAAGCCCGGGGCUCAACUCCGGUAUUGCAUUGGAAACUGUAGAACUAGAGUGUCGGAGGGGUAAGUGGAAUUCCUAGUGUAGCGGUGAAAUGCGUAGAUAUUAGGAGGAACACCAGUGGCGAAGGCGGCUUACUGGACGAUUACUGACGCUGAGGCUCGAAAGCGUGGGGAGCAAACAGGAUUAGAUACCCUGGUAGUCCACGCGGUAAACGAUGAAUACUAGGUGUUGGGAGGCAAAGCCUUUCAGUGCCGACGCUAACGCAAUAAGUAUUCCACCUGGGGAGUACGUUCGCAAGAAUGAAACUCAAAGGAAUUGACGGGGACCCGCACGAGCGGUGGAGCAUGUGGAUUAAUUCGAAGCAACGCGAAGAACCUUACCAGAUCUUGAGAUCCAGACGGACUAAUGGUAAUGCAUUAAGCCCUUCGGGGCGUCUGAGACAGGUGGUGCAUGGUUGUCGUCAGCUCGUGUCGUGAGAUGUUGGGUUAAGUCCCGCAACGAGCGCAACCCUUGCCCUUAGUAGCCAGCACGUUAUGGUGGGAACUCUAAGGGGACUGCCAGGGACAACCUGGAGGAAGGUGGGGAUGACGUCAAAUCAUCAUGCCCCUUAUGAUCUGGGCCUCACACGUGCUACAAUGUCGUAACAGAGGGAUGCGAAGGAGCGAUCCGGAGCGAAUCCCAAAAAUAACGACCCAGUUCGGAUUGUAGGCUGCAACCCGCCUGCAUGAAGCUGGAAUCGCUAGUAAUCGCAGAUCAGCAUGCUGCGGUGAAUACGUUCCCGGGUCUUGUACACACCGCCCGUCACACCAUGGGAGUCGGGAAUGCCCGAAGCCGGUGACCUAACCGCAAGGAAGGAGCCGUCGAAGGCAGGCUGGAUGACUGGGGUGAAGUCGUAACAAGGUAGCCGUAGGAGAACCUGCGGCUGGAUCACCUCCUU